GACAGAGGUGCCGAGCGUUAGGCGGAAUCACUGGGCUUAAAGCGUGUGUAGGCGGACCGUUAAGUACCUUGUGAAAUCCCCCGGCUCAACCGGGGAACGGCUGGGUAUACUGGCGGUCUUGAGCCAUCCAGGGGCAGUCGGAACAGACGGUGGAGCGGUGAAAUGCGUAGAUAUCGUCUGGAAUGCCGAAGGUGAAAACAGACUGCUGGGGAUGAGCUGACGCUGAGACACGAAAGCCAGGGGAGCGAACGGG
rnacentral:rRNA from 1 species